rnacentral:rRNA from 1 species
AUUGAACGCUGGCGGCAGGCUUAACACAUGCAAGUCGAGCGAGAGGCGGACGGGUGAGUAAUGUCUGGGAAACUGCCUGAUGGAGGGGGAUAACUACUGGAAACGGUAGCUAAUACCGCAUACUAUCGGAUGUGCCCAGCGUGGAUUAGCUCGUAGGUGGGGUAAUGGCUCACCUAGGCGACGAUCCCUAGCUGGUCUGAGAGGAUGACCAGCCACAAUGAAAUGGAGACACGGUCCAGACCCCUACGUGAGGCAGCAGUGGGGAAUAUUGCACAAUGGGCGCAAGCCUGAUGCAGCCAUGCCGCGUGUGUGAAGAAGGCCUUCGGGUUGUAAAGCACUUUCAGCGAGGAGGCGUUACUCGCAGAAGAAGCACCGGCUAACUCCGGGCCAGCAGCCGCGGUAAUAC